rnacentral:tRNA from 1 species
GCCGCCGUAGCUCAGCCCGGUAGAGCGCCGGCCUUGUAAGCCGGAGGUCGAGGGUUCAAAUCCCGCCGGCGGCU